rnacentral:rRNA from 1 species
UACGUAGGGUGCAAGCGUUGUCCGGAAUUAUUGGGCGUAAAGAGCUCGUAGGCGGUCUGUCGCGUCGGCUGUGAAAUCCCGGAGCUCAACCUCGGGUCUGCAGUCGAUACGGGCAAACUAGAGUAUUGCAGGGGAGACUGGAAUUCCUGGUGUAGCGGUGAAAUGCGCAGAUAUCAGGAGGAACACCGGUGGCGAAGGCGGGUCUCUGGGCAAUAACUGACGCUGAGGAGCGAAAGCGUGGGGGAGCGAACAGG